AAUUGGCAUUCAUGUUGCGACAGCAAGAUCCUUGAGCUGCACGAUGAAUAUGUAAUGAAUUCACAAUAAUAAAGCAUCGGAUUUAACGAAAUCUGAAAUCAGGGCACUUGGGACGAGGCCUACAAACGGUGCUGCUCCCUUGGAAUGGACCUCCUUUCAGUCCACAAUCCAAACAAGCAAUACUGCUUGGGCAAUCCUUACAGUUUAGCUUUUUUAAAGUUCUAUUCAGAUAUUAAAAUUAUAAAAAAAAUCAGAAAAUAGUAACCCGAAUGAGAAAGGGGAUCUGCCUUUUCGGACGGAGGUCUGGACAGCGGGGCGGGAUAUCGAGUCUUGCCGCGGACAAUUGCGAUGGUGCACCGGCUACCUGAACGACUACCUGAAAAACGACCUGACUUGGAAAAAGGGCCACGAUCCGAGAUUUGCGAACAACUCGUGCGUUUACAUCGAUUUUGGGGAUCCAGUUGAGCCUAGUCUGGCGCUGGCAGACUGCUCGGAAAAGAAACAGAUCAUCUGCGAGGUAUUUUGUCAGAAUAACGGGAUUAGAAUUAAAUUUAAUUUUGUAAAAAGGCGCCAAUGGGAGUGGGCUUCAAAUCGCAGAUGCAUUAUCAACCUUGCAGGAGGAAUUUCAGAGUUAAAGAAAGCGAUGCCGAGAAAAUUUGGAACACUGGCGAUUUGAGCAGAACCAGUUACGCAGCCAAAAAAAUGAUUCAAUGCCUAGCAGAGCACAUAGGACUGGUGUACAACUCGACCAAAAUCAACCUGCACGUUUACCUGACA